AGAAUCAACGCUGGCGGCGUGCCUAACACAUGCAAGUCGAACGAGAAAGUGGAGCAAUCCAUGAGUAAAGUGGCGCACGGGUGAGUAACACGUGACUAACCUACCCUUGAGUGGGGGAUAACCUAGAGAAAUCUGGGCUAAUACCACAUAAUACCUUCGGGUCAAAGGAGCAAUUCGCUUAAGGAGGGGGUCGCGGCCGAUUAGUUAGUUGGCGGGGUAAUGGCCCACCAAGACUAUGAUCGGUA
rnacentral:rRNA from 1 species